CAGGUAACACACACACACCGAGGAGAGUGAAGACAGAGACCCAUCACUCAGGUAGGAACUAAGACAACUCUGUCACGGAGACUGAAACACUCUAGUGAUAACACACAAUCACAGCGACUCAGGCAGAUCACACACACACACACACACACACACACACACACACACACACACACACACACACACACACACACACACACACACACACACACACACACACACACACACACACACACACACACACACACACACACACACACACACAGAUAGAGAGGUUCAGCAAGUAUUUUCAUCAGUACGCUAAUAUGUGGGCAGUAUUUUAAAAUAUAUUAAAAGGGACAGUUUUUUAUAUUUCUCAACAACUGACCAUUUGUCUUCAACCUCCACCUGAGAGCCUGGGAUGGUCUGACUGACUGUUACUGAGGAGACCUGGAAGUGGGUGGAUGGCACAUCACUGACCACAGGGUACUGGGGGAAAGGACAGCCUGAUGAUAGAGUGCAGGAGGGCUGUGUUGAGAUGUACUCUGUCUGUCUGUCUGUCUGUCUGUCUGUCUGUCUGUCUGUCUGUCUGUCUGUCUGUCUGUCUGUCUGUCUGUCUGUCUGUCUCCCCUUUCUCUCUUCUUUCCCAUAGUUAUGUUAAUGGUUGUGUUGGUUCCACUUUUCUGGGCUCCGUUAUUUACUUAACAGAUAAGGAAUACUUAAAAUGUGCAUAUAUAAUUAGAAUACAGCCGUAGACAGAAGUCAAAGGUCAAACAUCAGACAUACAACUGAUGUCUCUCCUGAGUUCUGCCCCGAACAAAAGAAAGACGGCCUCUUAUGUACCCGAGAUCACACCUUAUGGUAUGAUCUCCUAUGUCAAAACCUGCAUGUGCAGCUAAAGUUAUUCUUAACACAAGGUUUCUGAGAACCUGUCUCAGCAGUAUGCAAAUCUGCCCUUGUUUUAGAGAAAAACAAACGCUGUCUCUCUCUGUCUCGCUAUCACCCUCAGUCCCUUUUCUCACCUUUCCUCACAGACGCUGGGCGGCGGGUUUUGGCAGAAAGCUAGACACAGACAGAGGCCUCAAUACUCAGCUAUAGAGUGAGCAAAAGUACAAUGGCACGAAAGCAAAUUAGUAACAACAUACUCAAUGGUGGGGGUCUUUAGAAGACCCACAAUAUCAACUUUAACCCUUCAGUUGGAUAAGGUCCUGAGUGAUGAUUCCACCUAGUGGUUAAAAUGAGAGAUGAACUCACCAAGGGGGUGAAAUAAUGGUAUUACAGACUCAAAACACACUGGAGAUCCUAGGGGAGGGACCUUGGACCUUCUCUCCCAAUAGGGUUGAUAGGAGGUGAGGAAUUGAAGAAACACAAACUGAGAUGAAGAAGAAAAUUAAGAGAAAGGCAGAAAGAAAAUAAGAAUAGUUGUGUUAAGAUUUAAUAAAAGGAGUGUGUAGACAUACCUUAAUGGGUACACAUUGGUUGAAUCAACAUUGUAUCAAUUUCAUUUCAAUAAAAUUACGCUGAACCAACGUGGAAUAGA